UUCUGAGGCUCACAAUCCCCCUCAGCGAUUCUGCGAGCCCCAAGGCUGGCCCUGCCACACCUUUGCAAGUGACUAUUUUAAGCAAGUGUGCUCAUCGGGUUUGGGAGGACAACUGCUCCAAGUAAUUCUGGGAUGCAGGUUUCGCACCACAGGAUGCCAGCAGGAUCCAGUGAAGGUUAUGGACUGUCUAGCCUGAACUCCAUCUGUGCCCUGAAGUUUCCUCUUGGCUGGGCACCGCUGAAGGACCAGAAGCAGCCAGUAGGAAGCAGUAGGCACAGGGGCUCUUGGGGAAUUUAAGCCAUCUGAACGUGGCACUCAGUUUUUUAAGACAGCGUUUUUUUAAGCGCUGUGAACAUAUUGCACCCAAUUAUAAUUGCAUUAUGUACUCUGUGCCGUGCUAUGAGUGCAUGCCUCCUCCUAGCUAUGGAGGGGCAAAUCUGACAUAUAUACAACAAGUGCCCUGUUUUCUCCUAUGUAGCUUCUUCCAGCCUGUGUAUCACGAUAGUAUUUGCAUGCCUCCCAGUAGGGCACUGAACUGUGUGGCUAACAUCUGCCACGUGUUGUUUGUUCUGUCCUCCUCUCCCAAGGAAGGAGGUGAGUGUAGUGGAGCAUCUUGUUUUUGCAGCACAUUUGUUUGGCUUUUGCUUUCCCUGCAUGCAGAGCUAUGUAUACGCAUUAGUAAAAGUAAGGGCACAGAAAUGUGUCCUGCAAUUGAAAAUGCCUUUAUUUUGGUAAGGGGAAUAAUGGCUGAUUAAGUCAAAUUAAAAAGGGAAGGGAGACUUGAUUUUCCUUAUUCUCAGCAUACCCGGUUUGACAAAUGGGUCUUAACCACAGAUGACAGUAUUAGCUUCAGCCUUUCAGAUAAGGAAAUCUUGGCUGCUAUUCCCUCUGCCCAUUUAUCUAUGAUAAAUUUAAAGACACAUGUUCCCCCUUCCUGGACAAACAUUCUUCUACUGUUUGGGGUUUUUUAAUCUAACAGUAAAAUUUCUUUAUAUAUCUCUUUAUAUAUGUCUUUCUUCCCUUCUCUGAAUGGGCAGCCUUCUACAUGAUACCCUCUGUGGAUCUUGCCAAACAGUAACACUGGCUCUGGACACAGCUCUAUUUCAUCGCAGUUUGGGUCUGCACCUGGUUUAGUGGCAGGGGCACUUCUGAAGCCUAGGAGCCUGGCCUAUAUAUGCUUCUGUCUCUAGGGUUUUAUUUUAAGUAUUUUCACCUUUCUGGUGAAAGAUUAAUAUUUUCACUCUAUGCUGGAUUUUAUUAGUGAUCCUUACUCGAGCAAAUAACUAGUAGUCAAACAACAGUUCUUGUAUUCUAGGGGGCACUGAAACAUAGGACAGAGGGAAAAUCUGUAUUUUGCAAGAAACUGAAACACCUUCUUGAGCCCAGAGGUAAAGUCCUACUUUACCUCUGGGUUGUGUGUAUCCAUGUCGCUGUUAACACUAAGCUGAUUUAUACUUUUUCCAUGUGUACUUUAAGAUUACCUUAUUUUAAAGGAUCAGAGUGAUAAUUUCUUUUCUUUAAGUUCUAGUAAAAUGCUCAGUUUCUUAUAAUCCUUACCACUGCCUUCCAGGGCACUCUGUCUCAUCCUGCACUUGCUGGCUUGGUGUUACAACAAAAAGCAAACGCAGGUUCACGAAAGCAUUAUAGGAAGCAAAUAAUGCCUUUAUCCCUGGAGAUGUGCCAGCCCAGCAGUAUCAAAGCUGAGCCUUCCCUGACCUCUGCUCACGGGGCUCUGAGGCGGUCAGGACCCAGGCUGCAGUGACGGGGCCGGGACUCGGAGUGCCCGGGGGACGUGUGCUGGCGAGGGCUGUGCCGCCUCCCGGGCACCCAGUACGGCACGUCGCGUUUCUGUGCCUUCAGCGCCCAUUAAAAGACUGACUCCCUUGGCUUUGCAUGAACAUAAGACUGCCGUUUCCUCUCUGUGACUGAUGUUUGAACGAUGAAGUGAUUUUUUAGCGGAGGAAAAGGGCAACAGUAACAGUGAAUACACUGAACACCAGGACAGGGCAGUAGGAAGCCCACCCUGCAGUUCACCGGGGCUGAUGGAAGAGUGGGCGCUGAGCCCGGUCCCAGACAUGCUGCAGGGUGCGACAUGGGCUCCUGCGCUAGCCCUGUGCCUCUGGGACAGCCCUUCCCGAGUGGACGCUCCUCUGGGCACAGCUGGGCACAGCUCCGGCCGAAACAUUGCACAGGCUCUCGCUGGCUGCCCAGCCCAGCUCCUGGCCGAGGGCUGGAAUCAGCACCGUCCUCCGAAGGGCUGGAUGGUGUCCGCUCCUCGCCGCCUCGCCCACAAACAGUUGUUUGUCUUAAGUUGAGAUUUUUUUUCCCUGGGGCUGCCACAGAUUUUCCACCUCAGGGGCCAACCAACGGCCAGGGAGGGAGGCUCGUUAGUGGCCGUGAGGGCGGCCGUCCCUGCCAGUGCCAGGCCUGUCUGGUGAGGGAGGCGGGCGGCAGCUUCGCGUAAAAUGCCAAACAACCGUCCUUGUUUUCCUUGGUUGCCAGGGUAGGAGUUGACAUUGUCCCCAGCGGAGCACAAGGACUCCCCGUGACAUGGCGGGGACAAUGGGAAGAAACAAUUCAGAAAGUGACGCAUUGCUUCUGCCUGUGGACAGAGGGAACAGCUGAAACGUGGGAGACCAGACUACAGCUGUGUGACUACAGCUUGCUUUUUAAUUUUUUUUCUUUUUUUUUUAAACAACACAUACUUUAGUGAAUAAAAACUACUGAUUCCCUCUG